rnacentral:rRNA from 1 species
GCGCUGAGGGAUGGGCUCGCGGCCUAUCAGCUAGUUGGUGGGGUAACGGCCUACCAAGGCAUCGACGGGUAGCUGGUCUGAGAGGACGAUCAGCCACACUGGGACUGAGACACGGCCCAG